UACGGAGGGAGCUAGCGUUGUUCGGAAUUACUGGGCGUAAAGCGCACGUAGGCGGCUUUGUAAGUUAGAGGUGAAAGCCCGGAGCUCAACUCCGGAACUGCCUUUAAGACUGCAUCGCUUGAAUCCAGGAGAGGUGAGUGGAAUUCCGAGUGUAGAGGUGAAAUUCGUAGAUAUUCGGAAGAACACCAGUGGCGAAGGCGGCUCACUGGACUGGUAUUGACGCUGAGGUGGCGAAAGCGUGGGGAUCAAACAGG
rnacentral:rRNA from 1 species